UGCCUCACAAUGGUCUCUUUAGGCCCAGC
rnacentral:piRNA from 1 species